GCCCUGGCAUGCUUGUGUGCCCAUCGAUAAAAUCAAAAGUAAUUCCAUUAUCACCCACUGGAAAAGUGCGACUGGACAAGUGCAGGUCUAUGAAGUGAGGCGCUGUAGAGCUACAUUGACUCAGCGAUAAUGGCGCUAUCGUGAAGCUCAAGUCCUCCACCAUCAUUCCGGUACCUAAGAAGACAUCCAUCACCUGCCUGAAUGACUACCGGCCUGUUGCUCUGACCCCUGUAAUCAUGAAGUGCUUUGAGCGGAUUAUUCUCAGGGCCUCCACAUCGUAUCUGAUUUUUCCUGGUCCAUGAACACCUUGUAGUGUCAGAUCUGAGGGUUACAUGACAAGAUUGUGCCACUCCACU